rnacentral:snRNA from 1 species
UGAUCAGAGGCCAGUCUGACUGUCAUGUCUACCAUCAUGACUGAUCCUGGCUGAUUCAGCUGCUCUGGCAGAUUGGUCAGGAGACCCCUCAGUUCCUCACUCUUCCACGUGCAACCUGCCAAAGAUGUUUCCUUGGCUAAAGAGUUUGUAGCAGUCCUGAGAGAGAGCCUGUACUCUGAUGACGGGUGUCUGAGUAGCUGUCUCACCAGCUACAGCUUUUGAAUGAAAUGCUUUCAUCUUCAGUCUUCU